AGCCAUAUCACGUUUAAACACUAGUUUUCGUAAGAUCACCGAAGUUAAGCAACAUUGAGCCCGGUCAGUACCUUUAUGGGUGAUCGCUUGGGAAUACCAGAUGCUGUAAG